GACGAACGCUGGCGGCGUGCUUAACACAUGCAAGUCGAACGGAAAGGCCCUGCUUUUGUGGGGUGCUCGAGUGGCGAACGCGUGAGUAACACGUGAGUAACCUGCCCUUGUCUUUGGGGUAACUUCAGGAAACUGGGGCUAAUACCGGAUAUGAGCUCCUGCUGCAUGGUGUGGGUUGGAAAGUUUCGGCGGUUGGGGAUGGACUCGCGGCUUAUCAGCGUGUUGGUGGGGUAGUGGCUUACCAAGGCUUUGACGGGUAGCCGGACUGGGAGGGUGACCGGGCACAUUGGGCCUGAGAUAGGGCCAAGACUGCUACGGGAGGAAGCAGUGGGAAAUAUUGCACGAUGGGCGGAAGCCUGAUGCAGCAACGCCGCGUGCGGGAUGACGGCUUUCGGGGUGUAAACCGCUUGCGCGUGUAACGCAGCGUGAGUGACGGUAACGGGUAAAGAAGAAACGGCUAACUACGUG
rnacentral:rRNA from 1 species